CGUGUGUUCCAUCGCGGUCUGCUUCCUGGUGAGUUUUAAAACGUCCCAACUGGAGCACAGAGUGCAGGUGCUGGAGAUGGAGAAAAAGCCCGUUUUCCAACCCCCGGAAGCCUCCUUUCUGGGCGAAGACGGGAAUGUCUUACCUGUGUUUCGGAACACCAUAGACAAACUCCUGCAAGAGCGGCUCAGCGAGGUGCUGCCCAAAGUGCGGCUGGCGCGGGACACUGGCCCGGAAUGCACCUGUCCUCCAGGCCCUCCAGGCAAACGGGGCAGGAUGGGAAGGCGAGGUGAUCCUGG